rnacentral:rRNA from 1 species
UACGAAGGGGGCUAGCGUUGUUCGGAAUUACUGGGCGUAAAGGGCGCGUAGGCGGUUUGCUAAGUUGGAUGUGAAAACUCUGGGCUUAACCCAGAGUCUGCAUCCAAAACUGGCAAACUUGAGUACUGGAGGGGAAAGCGGAAUUCCUGGUGUAGCGGUGAAAUGCGUAGAUAUCAGGAGGAACACCGGUGGCGAAGGCGGCUUUCUGGACAGUAACUGACGCUGAGGCGCGAAAGCUAGGGGAGCAAACAGG